GACCCGUCUUGAAACACGGACCAAGGAGUCUAACAUGUGCGCGAGUCAAAGGGCUGGCUAAACCCCUAGGCGCAACGAAAGCGAAAAAGGCCUCUUCGGAGGCCGUUGGGUCGAUCCGUGCUCCCUUUAGUGGACCGGCGCAGACCCGGGGCUCGCCGUUACCUCUUCGUUCCCUCGCAAGGGGGUUCGCGGCGGGCGGCGGGCACCUUGAGCGUACAUGCUAGUACCCGAAAGAUGGUGAUCUAUGCCUGGCCAGGACGAAGCCAGAGGAAACUCUGGUGGAGGUCCGUAGCGAUUCUGACGUGCAAAUCGAUCGUCAGAGCUGGGUAUAGGGGCGAAAGACCAAUCGAACCAUCUAGUAGCUGGUUCCCUCCGAAGUUUCCCUCAGGAUAGCUGGCACUCGUAAAAACCAAAACACUAAAGGAGUUUCAUCCUGUAAAGAGAAUGAUUAGGGGUCCUUGGGGAUGAAAUUUCCUCAGCCCAUUCUCAAACUCUAAAUGGGUGAGAAGCCGGGCUUGCUAAAUUGAAGCCCCGGCUACGAAUCCGAGUGCCUAGUGGGCCAUUUUUGGUAAGCAGAACUGGCGCUGUGGGAUGAACCAAACGCCGAGUUAAGGGGCCUAAGUGUCGGCCCAUACAGAACCCCUGAAAGGCGUUGGUCGCUCAUGACAGCAGGUCGGUGGCCAUGGAAGUCGGCAUCCGCUAAGGAGUGUGU
rnacentral:rRNA from 1 species